GACGCCCUACGGGACGCAGCAGUGAGGAAUAUUGGUCAAUGGCCGGGAGGCUGAACCAGCCAAGUCGCGUGAGGGAAGACGGCCCUACGGGUUGUAAACCUCUUUUGUCAGGGAGCAAGGGGCGGGUCGAGACCUGCUGUGAGAGUACCUGAAGAAAAAGCAUCGGCUAACUCCGUGCCAGCAGCCGCGGUAAUACGGAGGAUGCGAGCGUUAUCCGGAUUUAUUGGGUUUAAAGGGGGC
rnacentral:rRNA from 1 species